AGUAUGGACAGCUUGCAGACCUUUUCCAAAGCUGAUAUUUUAGCUCAUCAUAGCAAGAAACCCACAAGUGUAAUUAAUUACAUUAACAAUGACGAUGUUCCAUUUGUCCCAGUAAUCCAUGCAAGCAUGUUCACUGUAAGCAUGUUUCUGCCCUUGUGGGAAUUAGGCUGGGGCAGUCGCAGGCACCCACUGCCUUGGCCCCCCUAAGUGCAGACUAAACAUGAGCUUUUCCUGCCAUGACAUGCCAAAAUAUCUUCUGUGGAUUUGGGACACAGCAACAGAAAAUGAAAUGUGGUGGUGCCCUCCUCAGGCCAAUCAAUGUUUUUAAAAAAUGGAACAAAAACAUUUUACUAACACAUAUACCCAAACUCAUACAACAUUCAAUCGCCUCCCAUGUCCCGUAGUCUCUCCAAGGGUUGAUCUAAAAUGAGGCUAUUAAAAUUAUUCAGCAGCUGGUGAAGUCAAAAAUUAGGCUGACAGAGAGUUAAUUCUGCUGACACAGCUUUUUCCGCUUCUGUCUUCGAAUUGAUUUGAAACACACCUCACAGGGGAACGCGUUCUGAUGCAUUUUGUUUUAUAUUAUGUGCAUCCUCUCACUGUGCAGUCUAUCCUUUUAUAGCUCUGGAUUUUGAUGCCCUAUAAAAGUCUUUUGCUGGUCAUGUUUUUGUUUUCAGCUAACAUGGAGCCGUUUCCCUCCAGCCAUUGUGUGCUAUUUGUCCUCCAGUGGAAUAAGGCUCAUUAUUUCAAUGUGUAGUCAUAGUUUCUACAGAUACACCCAGGGAUCAGGCCAUCUCUCCAUUAAGGAAAAUCUCUUUGAAAGCAGGCAUGCCCCGGGCCAAGCCUUCCCUCAGUUUCAUAAACAGCUAUUACACUGACAUGGAAAACAUGGAGUCUGCUGAAAUGUAGUACAUCAGUACAGUAUUCUUGCCUCCGGAGCUGUAGAGUCUGGAUCUACAAUGGCAAGCCUCCUACUGCCCCCA